rnacentral:rRNA from 1 species
GACUUGGUUGGGCGGUCUUUCCAAACGGAUUGCACUGUUCGACUGAGUCUUUCCUUCUGGCGAACUAUUGUGCUAUUAACUUAGUGCGAUAGGGAACCAGGACUUUUACUUUGAAAAAAUUAGAGUGUUUAAAGCAGGCUUACGCUUGAAUACAUUAGCAUGGAAUAAUAAAAUAGGACU